rfam:Lactobacillus gastricus PS3 contig00045, whole genome shotgun sequence.
GGGGAUGUUCUUGGAUUCGACGGGUAUAGGUUGAGUUCCAACUGCGUUUCGAAGGUUGCGGCUUCGUAAAAACGCUCAGUUUUAAAUUAUAACUGCAAACAAUAAUUCAAACUCUUACGCUUUAGCUGCCUAAACCACAGCGGGUGUAAAUCCAGCUGGGCUCGUCCAUGGUGCAGUCCUGGGUUUUAACAAUAGUGGACUACGUAAUUAAUUGCUGUUAGAAAUUAAUUAAAGAGUUUUUCUAACUAGCUAGGAAGAUUAGCCUUGAUUAGCGGCGGACGACCUAGCGAAAUUUAAAUAGUUAAUCUAUGAACGUAGACGUUGGAAUGGCAAUAUGCUCGGACGCGGGUUCGACUCCCGCCAUCUCCAUUA